rnacentral:rRNA from 1 species
CCUACGGGCGGCUGCAGGGGGGAAUAUUGGACAAUGGGGGGAACCCUGAUCCAGCCAUGCCGCGUGUGUGAAGAAGGCCCUCGGGUUGUAAAGCACUUUCAGUGAGGAAGAACGCCUGGUGGUUAAUACCCAUCAGGAAAGACAUCACUCACAGAAGAAGCACCGGCUAACUCCGUGCCAGCAGCCGCGGUAAUACGGAGGGUGCGAGCGUUGAUCGGAAUUACUGGGCGUAAAGCGCGCGUAGGUGGCUUGAUAAGCCGGUUGUGAAAGCCCCGGGCUCAACCUGGGACCGGCAUCCGGAACUGUCAAGCUAGAGUGCAGGAGAGGAAGGUAGAAUUCCCGGUGUAGCGGUGAACUGCGUAGAGAUCGGGAGGAAUACCAGUGGCGAAGGCGGCCUUCUGGACUGACACUGACACUGAGGUGCGAAAGCGUGGGUAGCAAACAGGAUUAGAUACCCCAGUAGUC